UCCCGUGUGGCUCAGUUGGUAGCGCAUGGUGUUUGCAAUGCCAGGGUUGGGGUUCGAUCCCCACGGGGGAC
rnacentral:tRNA from 1 species